CCUGCUGUUUCCUACUGGCCGUCAGAGCAUGCUUCUUCAAACCCUUUGGUGGCUACGCAGGCUGUAACAGGAGAACCCUACGAAUUAGGUAUUUUUACUUCACUUUCAGAGUUACGAACUGAGGCCCAGACAAGUGGUAUGACCUUUCCGAGGUCACAGGAUCAGCUCAUUAGCUUCUGUGGUUCCCCCUGAGAUGGAGGACACCAAAGGCGGGGAUAGGGCUGACUUAUCCUGCUUCUCUGUGCCGCUAGCCUCCGAACUGGUACUCAAGGAGACUCAGCAGCCAGCAGACCUUUGCCACUGGAUGGUAGGAGAGGAAGUUGACAGCAGAACCUCCUCCCAGUGGCUCUGCUGGGGCACUUGAGGAAUGGAAUGUUCUGGUCUGCAUGGCCCCCGGGGUCCUGGUGCCCAGUGGUGCUGGCUGAGUGCUUCCUGCACCGGGCACCGUGAUGAGGGCUUUCUAGGCAUUGACUAAUCCAGUCACUUUGUAAGACUCUAAGGUAGUUGCUAUGAUUAUUCCCACUUCCUCCUCAAGGGACCGAAGGCUUUGAGGGCUUCGGCUGGUCAUAAGGCUGAGGAAUGGAGCUGGGAUUGGGGCCCAGGGCCGUCUGACAACUGUGCCUGUCCCAUCGUCCAGAGUGUCAGACUUCAGGGAGAGCGCAGGGUCCCUGGAGCCACUUGUUUAUGAGUGGAUUCUCAGCCCUCAGCCCCAGAGACCCCCAUUCAGGUCUGGAUGGGGUCUGGGGAUCCGCAUUAGAAACAAGUCCCCUGAAGUAGGGGUCAGAGGCCCGGUUCUUAGAUACACUGCCCAACCCCUCCAUCCUGGCGAAGCCUCCGCAGCGUCCCUACUGAGAAAGCCACUGCGGGGAGAGUUCCCGUGGGCUCUGUAAAACCCUCAGUAUGCAGACCGGGCCUCACAGGCCCUCCUUGACUUUAUGCUCUGAAGGAAUCCUGGAGGGAUUCAGGGUCAGAUUAAGGAGAAAGCCACCUCUUGUCUAUGAGGAUAUACAAAAGCACAUCGGAGGCAGCCAGCGGAGCAAGGGGUGAGUCCCAGGUGAGUGACAGGAAUGGUGGGGCCGAGUACCAGCUCUGCCACUGUGCCCUCAUCAGGGCUGCAGCUCCCGCACCAGGACAAGACUGGGGCUGGACUAAAUCUCCAUCAGCCCGGCCAUGCGAUGACAGGGAUCCCUGCCAGGUCCUGGCCGCAACCUGCAAGCCACCAUGAAGGGGAGGACAUGGGGUCUUACCUGUGAG